UACGGAGGGAGCUAGCGUUGUUCGGAAUUACUGGGCGUAAAGCGUGCGUAGGCGGUUAUUCAAGUCAGAGGUGAAAGCCCGGGGCUCAACCCCGGAACUGCCUUUGAAACUAGAUAGCUAGAAUCUUGGAGAGGUCAGUGGAAUUCUGAGUGUAGAGGUGAAAUUCGUAGAUAUUCGGAAGAACACCAGUGGCGAAGGCGACUGACUGGACAAGUAUUGACGCUGAGGCACGAAAGCGUGGGGAGCAAACAGG
rnacentral:rRNA from 1 species